rnacentral:rRNA from 1 species
GUGCCAGCCGCCGCGGUAAUACGUAGGUUCCGAGCGUUGUCCGGAUUUAUUGGGCGUAAAGCGAGCGCAGGCGGUUAGAUAAGUCUGAAGUUAAAGGCUGUGGCUUAACCAUAGUACGCUUUGGAAACUGUUUAACUUGAGUGCAAGAGGGGAGAGUGGAAUUCCAUGUGUAGCGGUGAAAUGCGUAGAUAUAUGGAGGAACACCGGUGGCGAAAGCGGCUCUCUGGCUUGUAACUGACGCUGAGGCUCGAAAGCGUGGGGAGCAAACAGGAUUAGAU